AUUGAACGCUGGCGGCAGGCUUAACACAUGCAAGUCGAGCGAGCGGCGUACGGGGGAGUAAUGUAUGGGGACUGCCCGAUAGAGGGGGAUAACGACGGGAAACGGUAGCUAAUACCGCAUACUAUCGGAGAACGCAUAUGGGAUUAGCGAGUAGGUGGGGGAAUGGCUCACCUAGGCGGCGAUCCCUAGCUGGUCUGAGAGGCUGAUAAGCCACACUGGGACUGAGACACGGCCCAGACUCCUACGGCGGCAGCAGUGGGGAAUAUUGCACAAUGGGCGCAAGCCUGAUGCAGCCAUGCCGCGUGUAUGAUGAAGGCCCUAGGGUUGUAAAGUACUUUCAGUCGGGAGGCGUUACCUGCAGAAGAAGCACCGGCUAACUCCGUGCCAGCAGCCGCGGUAAUUC
rnacentral:rRNA from 1 species